GAGCUGCAGUGGGACCCGAGGGACAAUUCAUGCUCUAACCCUCCACCAUUCUCACACCUGAGAAACUUGGACACUUGAGAUCAACACCAGGGUGGACACCAGUGUCAAAGAGCUGCUGAGCCUCUGCAGGAAUAACAGACCCUUCCCUGACCACCGCCACUUUGCUUAGAAAAGAGGAUGAGGAUAAGGUCACAGUGGAUUAUCGGUGAUCAUAUGUUUGCAAGUCUCAGCCUUUUAGCAAUAACUGUGUGAAGCAAACCAAUAAAAAUUUUAUUUAGCUUAGACUGUGUCCUGGGGCAAGAGGCUGGUAAGACAACGAUAACUGAGAUACAUGGAAACUUUCAGAGAGCUCACCAUCCAGGAAGAAUAACAAAUGAGCAAUACAAAGGAGUGUGUCCUAUGACAUGGGCAAGAGCAAUGGGCUCUGGAAACCCAGAGCUGGGAGAAGACGGAAGGGCUGUCUGAGAAGAAUGCACAAAAGUCAAGGUUCAUUGAGUCGCAUUGGAAAAGCCUUUUAGGGUCAUGGCCAGCCUCUGGGCCUCAGGCCUUCCCAGCAGAGCGAGGCAGCUGCCCCAUAUCCUGGAUCAUCUUUCACAGGGGUUGCUCUGAGGACAAGAAGACACGACACAUUUUUUUAUUCUCUGCCCAAGACCCCGGAUCCCACGUCCUGACACCCGCUAUGAAGAGGCUCCUGACCUCCCGCUGGACACCCUCCUGGGGCUGAUCCGUCCUGCCAGGGGAGGCUUUGAAGUCGAGCCUUAUUUUCUACCAGUGAAGCGAGUCCAUAAAGUAAAUCCAAUUCAUCGGUGUCCAGGAGAACAUUACCAAGAUCGACGCGACACCAUGGGCAGUAUUUAAUUAUGAGCAGGCAGAGCAAAUAGGAGGGACACAAUAAAAAUGCUAAUCAGGGAGGGAAGGGAAAAAAAAAAACAGGCUUCAUUUUCUUCUAGAAUAGACUAAAUCUCAUCUCUGUCCCCUCCUUUCUUAGCCCCCAAAUGAAUGCCACUGUCCUCAUUUUGAACGUGACAUGGGUGACCGUUGAGCCCGUUUUAAUCCCGAUUCCCAGCUUCUCCUGCUUCUCUGUGGUCUCAGCA
rnacentral:lncRNA from 1 species